AGCGUAUACGGUGGAUGCCUUGGCAAUAAGAGGCGAUGAAGGACGUGCUAACCUGCGAAAAGCUGCGGUAAGCUGGUAAGAGGCGCAAUACCCGCAGAUGUCCGAAUGGGGAAACCCACUGCGCAAGCAGUAUCCUGUUUACAGGAAGCGAACCGGGAGAAGUGAAACAUCUCAGUACCCCGAGGAAAAGAAAUCAACCGAGAUUUCCCUAGUAGUGGCGAACGAACGGGAAGAAGCCCAAAAUCUUGAUAUGUGAUAGCUGAAUCAGUUGGGAAGCUGAACAGAAAAGUGUGAUAGUCACGUAAGCGACGUUGCGUAUUGAGUGAUACAUGAGUAUGGCGGGACACGAGAAAUCCUGUCAGAAGAUGGGGGGACCAUCCUCCAAGGCUAAAUACUACUUAUUGACCGAUAGUGAACCAGUACCGUGAGGGAAAGGCGAAAAGAACCCCUGUGAGGGGAGUGAAAAGAAUCUGAAACCGUAUACGUACAAGCAGUAGGAGCGCUACGGCGUGACUGCGUACCUUUUGUAUAAUGGGUCAGCGAGUUGCUUUCAGUGGCGAGGUUAACCGUAUAGGGGAGCCGUAGGGAAACCGAGUUUUAACUGAGCGAAUAAGUCGCUGGGAGCAGACCCGAAACCUGAUGAUCUAGUCAUGGGCAGGAUGAAGGUAAGGUAACACUUACUGGAGGUCCGAACCCACUAACGUUGCAAAGUUAGGGGAUGACCUGUGACUAGGGGUGAAAGGCCAAUCAAAUCAGGUGAUAUCUGGUUCUCCCCGAAAGCUAUUUAGGUAGCGCCUCAAUUGAUGAUUACAGGGGGUAGAGCACUGUUUCGGUAAGGGGCCCAUCCCGGGUUGCCGAGUCGAUGCAAACUCCGAAUACCUGUAAGUGAAGAUUGGGAGACAGACAGCGGGUGCUAAGGUCCGUUGUCGAGAGGAAAAGAGUCCGGACCGCCAGCUAAGGUCCCCAAGUACAGAUUAAGUGGGAAACGAUGUGGGAAGGCAUAGACAGCUAGGAUGUUGGCUUAGAAGCAGCCAUCAUUAAAAGAAAGCGUAAUAGCUCACUAGUCGAGUCGGCCUGCGCGGAAGAUGUAACGGGGCUAAAUCUGUCACCGAAGCUGCGGAUUCAUUCGUAAGAAUGAGUGGUAGGGGAGCGUUCUGUAAGGUGAAGAAGGUGUACUGGAAGGUAUGCUGGAGCUAUCAGAAGUGCGAAUGCUGACGUGAGUAACGAUAAUACGGGUGAAAAACCCGUACGCCGAAAGACCAAGGUUUUCUGUCCAACGUUAAUCGGGGCAGAGUGAGUCGGAUCCUAAUGAUAAACUGAAAAGUGAGGCAGAUGGGAAAUCGGUUAAUAUUCCGAUACUUUAUAUGACUGCGAUGGAGGGACGAAGAAGGUUAGGCACGCAUACUGUUGGAUGUAUGUGAAAGGGUGUAGUUCCGCUGUGUACGAAGAGAAGGCAUGGCGAAGGAUGAGACCUGAGAGGAGGGAACUACGGUUCCUGAAGGUGUUGAUACCCUGCUUCCUGGAAAAUCUUCUAAGCUAUAGGUCAUAUAAAACCGUACCCCAAACCGACACAGGUGGUCGGGUAGAGAAUACCAAGGCGCUUGAGAGAACUCGGGUGAAGGAACUAGGCAAAAUAGUACCGUAACUUCGGGAGAAGGUACGCCGAUGGUUGUUAGCCGUCACGCACGGUAAAGCAAUAAUCGGUCACAGAAACCAGGUGGCUGGGACUGUUUAACAAAAACACAGCACACUGCAAACACGAAAGUGGACGUAUAGUGUGUGACACCUGCCCGGUGCCGGAAGGUUAAGAGGAGAUGUCACUCUAUGGGAGGAAGCAUUGAAUUGAAGCCCCGGUAAACGGCGGCCGUAACUAUAACGGUCCUAAGGUAGCGAAAUUCCUUGUCGGGCAAGUUCCGACCUGCACGAAUGGUGUAACCAUGGCCACGCUGUCUCCACCCGAGACUCAGUGAAAUCGAAAUCGCUGUGAAGAUGCAGUGUACCCGCGGCUAGACGGAAAGACCCCGUGAACCUUUACUAUAGCUUGACACUGAACAUUGAGUCUGUCUGUGUAGGAUAGAUGGGAGACUAAGAAGCAUGUACGCCAGUAUGUGUGGAGUCGUUGUUGAAAUACCAUUCUGACAUGCUUGAUGUUCUAACCCUGCGGGGGACAGUGUCUGGUGGGUAGUUUGACUGGGGCGGUCUCCUCCUAAAGGAUAACGGAGGAGCACGAAGGUUGGCUAAUCACGGUCGGACAUCGUGAGGUUAGUGUAAUGGCACAAGCCAGCUUGACUGCGAGACAGACGAGUCGAGCAGAUGCGAAAGCAGGUCAUAGUGAUCCGGUGGUUCUGAAUGGAAGGGCCAUCGCUCAACGGAUAAAAGGUACUCUGGGGAUAACAGGCUGAUACCGCCCAAGAGUUCAUAUCGACGGCGGUGUUUGGCACCUCGAUGUCGGCUCAUCACAUCCUGGGGCUGAAGUUGGUCCCAAGGGUAUGGCUGUUCGCCAUUUAAAGUGGUACGCGAGCUGGGUUCAAAACGUCGUGAGACAGUUUGGUCCCUAUCUGCCGUGGGCGUAGGAAGAUUGAGAGGACUUGCUCCUAGUACGAGAGGACCGGAGUGAACGAACCUCUGGUGUACGGGUUGUCAUGCCAAUGGCACUGCCCGGUAGCUAAGUUCGGAAUCGAUAACCGCUGAAAGCAUCUAAGCGGGAAGCGAGCCUCAAGAUAAGUCUUGCCAAAUAUAGUUUGUAAGGGCCGUUCGAGACCAGGACGUUGAUAGGUGUGAGGUGGAAGAGUCGGAGAGACUUGUAGCUGACACAUACUAAUUACCCGAGAGUCUUAACU
rnacentral:rRNA from 1 species